AGUGAACGCUGGCGGUAGGCCUAACACAUGCAAGUCGAACGGCAGCACAGUAAGAGCUUGCUCUUACGGGUGGCGAGUGGCGGACGGGUGAGGAAUACAUCGGAAUCUACUUUUUCGUGGGGGAUAACGUAGGGAAACUUACGCUAAUACCGCAUACGACCUACGGGUGAAAGCAGGGGAUCUUCGGACCUUGCGCGAUUGAAUGAGCCGAUGUCGGAUUAGCUAGUUGGCGGGCUAAACGCCCACCAAGGCGACGAUCCGUAGCUGGUCUGAGAGGAUGGUCGGCCACCUUGGAGCGGAAACACCGUCCAUACUCCUGCGGGAGGCAGCAGUGGGGAAUAUUGGGCAAUGGGCGCAAGCCUGGUACAGCCAUACCGCGUGGGUGAAGAAGGCCUUCGGGUUGUAAAGCCCUUUUGUUGGGAAAGAAAAGCAGCAGGUUAAUACCCCGCUGUUCUGACGGUACCCAAAGAAUAAGCACCGGCUAACUUCGUG
rnacentral:rRNA from 1 species